GUCCGCGGGAAUUCGAUUCAGGCCUAACACAUCCAACUCGACCGGAAAGGCCUCAGCUUGUUGGGGUACUCGAGUGGCGACCGGGUGAGUAACACGUGGGUGAUCUGCCCUUCACUUUGGGAUAAGCUUGGGAAACUGGGUCUAAUACCGUAUAUGACCACUUCUUGGAUGUUGUGGUGGAAAGCUUUUGCGGUGUGGGAUGAGCCUGCGGCCUAUCAGCUUGUUGGUGGGGUAAUGGCCUUUCAAGGCGGCGCCGCGUAUCCGGCUGAUGAGGGUGUACGGACACAUUGGGACUGAGAUACGGCCCAGUCUCCUACGGGAGGCAGCAGUGGGGAAUAUUGGACAAUGGGCGAAAGCCUGAUCC
rnacentral:rRNA from 1 species